AUUGAACGCUGGCGGCAGGCCUAACACAUGCAAGUCGAACGGUUGCACAGAGAGCUUGCUCUCGGGUGACGAGUGGCGGACGGGUGAGUAAUGUCUGGGAAACUGCCCGAUGGAGGGGGAUAACUACUGGAAACGGUAGCUAAUACCGCAUAACGUCGCAAGACCAAAGUGGGGGACCUUCGGGCCUCACACCAUCGGAUGUGCCCAGAUGGGAUUAGCUAGUAGGUGGGGUAAUGGCUCACCUAGGCGACGAUCCCUAGCUGGUCUGAGAGGAUGACCAGCAACACUGGAACUGAGACACGGUCCAGACUCCUACGGGAGGCAGCAGUGGGGAAUAUUGCACAAUGGGCGCAAGCCUGAUGCAGCCAUGCCGCGUGUAUGAAGAAGGCCUUCGGGUUGUAAAGUACUUUCAGCGGGGAGGAAGGCGGUGAAGUUAAUAACUUCACCGAUUGACGUUACCCGCAGAAGAAGCACCGGCUAACUCCGUGCCAGCCGCCGCGGUAA
rnacentral:rRNA from 1 species